CCAGACUCCUACGGGAGGCAGCAGUAGGGAAUCUUCGGCAAUGGACGGAAGUCUGACCGAGCAACGCCGCGUGAGUGAAGAAGGUUUUCGGAUCGUAAAGCUCUGUUGUAAGAGAAGAACGAGUGUGAGAGUGGAAAGUUCACACUGUGACGGUAUCUUACCAGAAAGGGACGGCUAACUACGUGCCAGCAGCCGCGGUAAUACGUAGGUCCCGAGCGUUGUCCGGAUUUAUUGGGCGUAAAGCGAGCGCAGGCGGUUAGAUAAGUCUGAGGUUAAAGGCUGUGGCUUAACCAUAGUACGCUUUGGAAACUGUUUAACUUGAGUGCAAGAGGGGAGAGUGGAAUUCCAUGUGUAGCGGUGAAAUGCGUAGAUAUAUGGAGGAACACCGGUGGCGAAAGCGGCUCUCUGGCUUGUAACUGACGCUGAGGCUCGAAAGCGUGGGGAGCAAACAGGAUUAGAUACCCUGGUAGUCCACGCCGUAAACGAUGAGUGCUAGGUGUUAGACCCUUUCCGGGGUUUAGUGCCGUAGCUAACGCAUUAAGCACUCCGCCUGGGGAGUACGACCGCAAGGUUGAAACUCAAAGGAAUUGACGGGGGCCCGCACAAG
rnacentral:rRNA from 1 species